rnacentral:lncRNA from 1 species
AGUGAGGUCGGCGCCCGCCAGUAACAAACAUGGCUCCCUGAAGCCGCUCAGGCUCAAGAGCAACAUGGAGGUCUGCACUUAAUCGCUCCUCUCCGGGGGCGGCCAUACCGAGGAGGCGUCUCUUCCGUGCAGGCAGGCUCUCCUGGGGACCUCAGAGAUUCUCUCCAGCGGCAGCGGAAAACGGACAAUGGGUGGAUUCGGGUCCAGAUUCUGGUAGGAGGGAGUUUGGGAUCGAGAUCUGGAAAAAAGCACUAGACUGGAAGAGGACGCGAUGGAGUCGGAGCCGCUGGCGGGGACAAAAACCAGAGGCCGGGGAAGGCGCCGGUGGGAGGCAAGGCACGGAUGGACUUUACCUGCGCACGCGUCGCAGCCAUCUCCGCGCACAGUGGUGGCCACCGCGACUGGUGCUGAAGUGUUGGCGCGUGCCGGGCGCUCCGCUGGGACCCGGGUUGCUGGCCCUGAGUCUCAGCUUUCUCAUCUGUACGGUUGGGACAAGUACAGUAACCCUCGCCCGUCAAGACGGGCCAGGGCUGUGGCGAGGGUCCACGCCUUAGAGCAGGUACCUAUCUUGUGCAGGGCCCUGAGAUGGGGUCUGACUCAGUUCCUGCGGGGAACUUCACCAGUGACCCAGUCAGUGCCCUUCAGUUAAAGACCACCAGGAGCACACUUGCAGGAGUAGGGCUGAUUGGAGCCAUUGUACAGUGUCGGGAACAUACCAGGACACUGAGAAUAGUGUCAUGUCAUAAGGACCCAGAGCAGAUGGACCCUGCUGUGAUGCACAAAGAGGACCACGCAAGAUAUGAUAAAGAUCUACAUCACUGAAUUUUGGUUCCAUUUUUGUAUCUCAGCUUCCAGGAAAUAAAAAAGAAUUCUAACAUUCAUACUUUCAGUAUUUUAUGUGAGAGGUUUUGUUGUCAAAAUCAAGUCUGAGAGCAAUGUUUGUUGGGGCCUUUAAUUGGAGUCACCAAGCGAUAAAGGGGACAUUGUCCUCAACAAUAACCCUAUAAUAAACACGUUUUGGACAAUAAA